rfam:Desulfitobacterium dichloroeliminans LMG P-21439, complete genome.
GCAAAGGUUCCAUUAGGAACCACUUCGAUUUUCAAGCGACCAUUGG